AGCUUUGCGCAGUGGCAGUAUCGUAGCCAAUGAGGUUUAUCCGAGGCGCAAUUAUUGCUAAUUGAACAACUAACUGAUGGG
rnacentral:snRNA from 11 species